CAGCCGCCGCGGUAAAACGGAGGGUGCAAGCGUUAAUCGGAAUUAUUGGGCGUAAAGGGUGCGUAGGCGGCCCCGCAAGUCUCAUGUGAAAUCUUCAGGCUCAACUUGAAGUCUGCAUGGGAAACUGCGGGGCUGGAGUAUGGGAGAGGUGAGUGGAAUUCCUGGUGUAGCGGUGAAAUGCGUAGAUAUCAGGAGGAACACCUGUGGCGAAAGCGGCUCACUGGACCAUAACUGACGCUGAGGCACGAAAGUUAGGGGAGCAAACAGGAUUAGAUACCCCCGUAGUCCCUGUCUCUUAUAC
rnacentral:rRNA from 1 species